rnacentral:lncRNA from 1 species
CCUUAGUCCCUUAGCCCGGAUAGAGCAGCCUUGAACCGGUGGGAGGGCGGAAGUGGUGGAGUGGACCGCAGCCGAGGCCAGGGGCUUCACGGAACUUCUGGGGUCCUCAGUUUCCCCAUAGGUCGAUUUGGGCUAAGACCUUCCCCCACAGGAAGGGUUGCUGAGGGAAUGGGGCUACAGGACAGCAAUCGCACAUCCUGCAGACCUGUAGUCAGAUCAGGCACAGAGAAAGGAAACAACUUUCAAAGAUCACUCAGCAAGCUGGCCAUCGAGCUGAUGGAGGCCUCCUAUGCUUAUCCACCAAGCCGGGUUGCCUAUUGGUGUGUCCAAGCAGAGGUCCUCAGGGAGACUGAGGCAACUCGGGGUGCAUUCCAGCUUGGAGUGAAGCAGAGCACGGAGACCAGAUCUUCUACCUCAUCUGGCCCUCAUCUUCCCUAAUAACCAGGGGAAGUGUGUUUCCUUUUAUGACUGAGUACAGGAAGGCCUGGGACAGCUUCCCCUGUAUCCUGGCCUCGCAUAAUACCAUAUGUCAAGAACUGUAUACAGGCAAAGUAAUCAAUGACAAGAAUAGCCCAAGGAGAGAGCUGUCGGGAGCAAUGCUACAUAAUUUUAGGGUAAAAUCAUUUGGUUAGCCUAGUUCUCCUGCCUACAGCCCAGCUAUGGAAUUCCGAGACAUAAUUGCAUUUUGGCCUCCGGUCACAACUGAGACCUCAAUGAUCUGGUGAUGCUGUCUGUGAUUCUCCAGGACAAGAAGCAUCCUGGGAGCUGAGAACAUCCUGGGAGGAACAAACAUCUCAGUUCCUCAUUGUUCUUGGAUUGUUACCAUCUUGUUUACUGGGAUGUACUGAACUCCCUGCAAGUCAUUUGUUACAUUUGUUUCUCCCGAUGGACUGAAUAAAAGGUGCGGUAAGGUGGGGGUUUUCAUCUUUGCCGCCCAGAGCAGCACUGAUCAGACCCAGAGCUCAGCUUCUUCUCAGUCUCAUUUUUCUACUU